AAAUUGAAGAGUUUGAUCAUGGCUCAGAUUGAACGCUGGCGGCAGGCCUAACACAUGCAAGUCGAACGGUAACAGGAAGCAGCUUGCUGCUUCGCUGACGAGUGGCGGACGGGUGAGUAAUGUCUGGGAAACUGCCUGAUGGAGGGGGAUAACUACUGGAAACGGUAGCUAAUACCGCAUAAUGUCGCAAGACCAAAGAGGGGGACCUUCGGGCCUCUUACCAUCGGAUGUGCCCAGAUGGGAUUAGCUUGUUGGUGGGGUAACGGCUCACCAAGGCGACGAUCCCUAGCUGGUCUGAGAGGAUGACCAGCCACACUGGAACUGAGACACGGUCCAGACUCCUACGGGAGGCAGCAGUGGGGAAUAUUGCACAAUGGGCGCAAGCCUGAUGCAGCCAUGCCGCGUGUAUGAAGAAGGCCUUCGGGUUGUAAAGUACUUUCAGCGGGGAGGAAGGGAGUAAAGUUAAUACCUUUGCUCAUUGACGUUA
rnacentral:rRNA from 1 species